UACGUAUGGGGCAAGCGUUAUCCGGAUUCACUGGGUGUAAAGGGAGCGUAGGUGGUUUGGCAAGUCAGAUGUGAAAGCCCGGGGCUCAACCCCGGUAGUGCAUUUGAAACUGCCAAACUAGAGUGCAGGAGAGGUAAGUGGAAUUCCUAGUGUAGCGGUGAAAUGCGUAGAUAUUAGGAGGAACACCAGUGGCGAAGGCGACUUACUGGACUGUAACUGACACUGAGGCUCGAAAGCGUGGGGAGCAAACAGG
rnacentral:rRNA from 1 species